rnacentral:rRNA from 1 species
UAACUGAAGAGUUUGAUCAUGGCUCAGAUUGAACGCUGGCGGCAGGCUUAACACAUGCAAGUCGAGCGGGGGAAGGUAGCUUGCUACUGGACCU